ensembl:lncRNA
AGAGAGAGAGAUGGGCCCUGGCAGGGAUAUCAGUGGUAGAGAGAGAUAUGGGCCCUGGCAGGGAUAACAGUGGUAGAGAGAGAGAUGGGCCCUGGCAGGGACAUCAGUGGUAGAGAGAGAGAUGGGCCCUGGCAGGGAUAUCAGGAUAACAGUGGUAGAGAGAUGGGCCCUGGCAGGGAUAACAGUGGUAGAGAGAGAGAGAUGGGCCCUGGCAGGGAUAACAGUGAGAGAGAGAUGGGCCCUGGCAGGGAUAACAGUGGUAGAGAGAGAGAUGGGCCCUGGCAGGGAUAACAGUGGUAGAGAGAGAGAUGGGCCCUGGCAGGGAUAUCAGUGGUAGAGAGAGAGAUGGGCCCUGGCAGGGAUAACAGUGGU